rnacentral:rRNA from 1 species
UACGAAGGGGGCUAGCGUUGUUCGGAAUUACUGGGCGUAAAGCGCACGUAGGCGGAUAUUUAAGUCAGGGGGUGAAAUCCCAGAGCUCAACUCUGGAACUGCCUUUGAUACUGGGUAUCUUGAGUAUGGAAGAGGUAAGUGGAAUUGCGAGUGUAGAGGUGAAAUUCGUAGAUAUUCGCAAGAACACCAGUGGCGAAGGCGGCUGACUGGGACAUGUAUUGA